UACGUAGGGUGCGAGCGUUGUCCGGAAUUAUUGGGCGUAAAGGGCUCGUAGGCGGUCUGUCGCGUCAGGAGUGAAAACUCGGGGCUUAACCCCGAGCCUGCUUCUGAUACGGGCAGACUAGAGGUAUGCAGGGGAGAACGGAAUUCCUGGUGUAGCGGUGAGAUGCGCAGAUAUCAGGAGGAACACCGGUGGCGAAGGCGGUUCUCUGGGCAUUACCUGACGCUGAGGAGCGAAAGUGUGGGGAGCGAACAGG
rnacentral:rRNA from 1 species